GGGAUGUAGCUCAGUGGUAGAGCGCGCG
rnacentral:piRNA from 2 species